AUAAUUUAAAGGGCAUAGCCAAAGAAGCAAAGCAUCUUAAAAAGAAAUAUAUGUGCUAAUGUUCAAUAACAAUGACAUCAUAUUGAUAGAAUUUAUCAAUUCAAAGCAGGUGCUAUACUGGGUUCAAAUAGCUAUGGCUAAUCUGUUGGUUUCCAUGGUGAUCACUCUUUCUCUACACUUUGCCUUCGAAUUGCACCUAUUUUUGCCUUAAUUAUUCUACCACCUCCACCACCUCGUGUUUAUGUUAAGAUAACACAUUAACACCUUAGACUCACUAUAUACAGGAUAUUGGCUGCAUAUGAUCAACCGAUUGGCUCAUUCAACCAGGAAGUAGUUGAGAGAUCACAACAAAUCCUUGGACCCCAAAUAAAACCAGUAAUAGAACCACUUCACACAUUGCCAGUGUUUAUUCGAUAGCAAUGAAUAAAGUCUGUUCAUAUAGAAAAGCUGCAUAGAC